rnacentral:rRNA from 1 species
CCUUUGUACACACCGCCCGUCGCUACUACCGAUUGAACGGCUCAGUGAGGCCUUCGGACUGGCUCAGGGAGGUCGGCAACGACCACCCAGAGCCGGAAAGUUGUACAAACUUGGUCGUUUAGAGG